rnacentral:rRNA from 1 species
UACGUAGGGUCGAGACGUUGUCCGGAAUUAUCGUGGCGUAAAGAGCUCGUAGGCGGUUUGUCGCGUCUGCUGUGAAAAUCCAGGGCUUAACCCUGGACCUGCAGUGGGUACGGGCAGACUAGAGUGCGGUAGGGGAGAUCGGAAUUCCUGGUGUAGCGGUGAAAUGCGCAGAUAUCAGGAGGAACACCGGUGGCGAAGGCGGAUCUCUGGGCCGUAACUGACGCUGAGGAGCGAAAGCAUGGGGAGCGAACAGG